rnacentral:misc_RNA from 1 species
UUAAGUUCAGCGGGUAUUCUUACCUGAUUUGAGGUCAAUUAUUGAAAAAUUAUAGAUAUGAAAUACCUUUAAAAUAUAGGUCAUACCUAGUAGGUAUUUGCAUUAAAAGACGCAAUAAAAAUAAUUCUAAGUACGUCUAAAUACAAAAUAAAUCAAUUUUAAGUCACUUAACCUAAAAGUUAAGAUAACUCAACUCCGAUGCAUUACUCAAAAAAAGCAAUACUCCGAUUGUUAUUAAAAUGACCCUCAAACAGGCAUACUCCCCGAAGAGAGUGCAAUUUGCGUU